rnacentral:rRNA from 1 species
UACGUAGGGGGCAAGCGUUGUCCGGAAUCAUUGGGCGUAAAGAGCGCGUAGGCGGCUGGAUUAGUCCGGUGUGAAAUCCACAGGCUUAACCUGUGAAUGCCGCUGGAGACUGUCUGGCUAGAGUCCGGAAGGGGCGAGUGGAAUUCCUGGUGUAGCGGUGAAAUGCGCAGAUAUCAGGAGGAACACCAAUGGCGAAGGCAGCUCGCUGGGACGGUACUGACGCUGAGGCGCGAAAGCGUGGGGAGCAAACAGG